AUUGAACGCUGGCGGCAUGCCUUACACAUGCAAGUCGAACGGCAGCACGGGAGCAAUCCUGGUGGCGAGUGGCGAACGGGUGAGGAAUAUAUCGGAACGUGCCCAGUCGUGGGGGAUAACGUAGCGAAAGCAACGCUAAUACCGCAUACGAUCUAUGGAGGAAAGCGGGGGAUCGCAAGACCUCGCGCGAUUGGAGCGGCCGGUAUCAGAUUAGGUAGUUGGUGGGGGAAAGGCUCACCAAGCCGACGAGCGGUAGAUGGUCUGAGAGGACGACCAGCCACACGGGGACUGAGCCACGGCCCAGACUCCUACGGGAGGCAGCAGUGGGGAAUUUUGGACAAUGGGCGCAAGCCUGAUCCAGCAAUGCCGCGUGAAGGAUGAAGGCCUUCGGGUUGUAAACUGCUUUUGUACGGAGCGAAAAGGCUUCCACUAAUACUGGGGGCUCAUGACGGUACCGUAAGAAUAAGCACCGGCUAACUACGUGCCAGCCGCCGCCGUAAGAC
rnacentral:rRNA from 1 species